rnacentral:rRNA from 1 species
CCAGACUCCUACGGGAGGCAGCAGUGAGGAAUAUUGGUCAAUGGACGCAAGUCUGAACCAGCCAUGCCGCGUGCAGGAUGACGGCUCUAUGAGUUGUAAACUGCUUUUGUACGAGGGUAAACCCCGAUACGUGUAUCGGGUUGAAAGUAUCGUACGAAUAAGGAUCGGCUAACUCCGUGCCAGCAGCCGCGGUAAUACGGAGGAUCCGAGCGUUAUCCGGAUUUAUUGGGUUUAAAGGGUGCGCAGGCGGUCUGUUAGGUCAGGGGAAAAAGCCCGGGGCUCAACCCCGGGGAGCCGUUGAAACUGGCGGGCUGGAGUUGGAGAGAAGUACGCGGAAUGCGCGGUGUAGCGGUGAAAUGCUUAGAUAUCGCGCAGAACCCCGAUUGCGAAGGCAGCGUACCGGCUCCACACUGACGCUGAGGCACGAAAGCGUGGGUAUCGAACAGGAUUAGAUACCCUCGUAAU